rnacentral:rRNA from 1 species
UGGGGAAUAUUGCGCAAUGGGGGAAACCCUGACGCAGCAACGCCGCGUGACCGAUGAAGCUUUUAGGAGCGUAAAGGUCUGUCGUAAGGGAAGAAAAAUUUGGAUGUAAAUAAUGUUCGAAUAUGACGGUACCUUACAAGAAAGCGCCGGCUAACUUCGUGCCAGCAGCCGCGGUAAUACGAGGGGUGCAAGCGUUAAUCGGAAUUACUGGGCGUAAAGCGUACGUAGGAUGUAGUGCAAGUCGGAUGUGAAAUCCCUGGGCUUAACCUGGGAACUGCAUUCGAAACUACAUUACUAGAGUGUAGAAGAGGAAAGCGGAAUUUCGGGUGUAGCGGUGAAAUGCGUAGAUAUCCGAAAGAACAUCAGUGGCGAAGGCGGCUUUCUGGACUAACACUGACUCUGAGGUACGAAAGCGUGGGGAGCAAACAGG